GAAUGCUGACAUAAGUAACGAUAAAGCGGGUGAAAAGCCCGCUCGCCGGAAGACCAAGGGUUCCUGUCCAACGUUAAUCGGGGCAGGGUGAGUCGACCCCUAAGGCGAGGCCGAAAGGCGUAGUCGAUGGGAAACGGGUUAAUAUUCCCGUACUUGGUGUUACUGCGAAGGGGGGACGGAGAAGGCUAUGUUGGCCGGGCGACGGUUGUCCCGGUUUAAGCGUGUAGGUGUGUGUUCCAGGUAAAUCCGGUUCACUUUAACACUGAGGCGUGACGACGAGGCACUACGGUGCUGAAGCAACAAAUGCCCUGCUUCCAGGAAAAGCCUCUAAGCAUCAGGUAACAUCAAAUCGUACCCCAAACCGACACAGGUGGUCAGGUAGAGAAUACCAAGGCGCUUGAGAGAACUCGGGUGAAGGAACUAGGCAAAAUGGUGCCGUAACUUCGGGAGAAGGCACGCUGACACGUAGGUGAAGUGAUUUACUCAUGGAGCUGAAGUCAGUCGAAGAUACCAGCUGGCUGCAACUGUUUAUUAAAAACACAGCACUGUGCAAACACGAAAGUGGACGUAUACGGUGUGACGCCUGCCCGGUGCCGGAAGGUUAAUUGAUGGGGUCAGCGCAAGCGAAGCUCCUGAUCGAAGCCCCGGUAAACGGCGGCCGUAACUAUAACGGUCCUAAGGUAGCGAAAUUCCUUGUCGGGUAAGUUCCGACCUGCACGAAUGGCGUAAUGAUGGCCAGGCUGUCUCCACCCGAGACUCAGUGAAAUUGAACUCGCUGUGAAGAUGCAGUGUACCCGCGGCAAGACGGAAAGACCCCGUGAACCUUUACUAUAGCUUGACACUGAACAUUGAGCCUUGAUGUGUAGGAUAGGUGGGAGGCUUUGAAGUGUGGACGCCAGUCUGCAUGGAGCCGACCUUGAAAUACCACCCUUUAAUGUUUGAUGUUCUAACGUGGACCCGUUACCCGGGUUGCGGACAGUGUCUGGUGGGUAGUUUGACUGGGGCGGUCUCCUCCUAAAGAGUAACGGAGGAGCACGAAGGUUGGCUAAUCCUGGUCGGACAUCAGGAGGUUAGUGCAAUGGCAUAAGCCAGCUUGACUGCGAGCGUGACGGCGCGAGCAGGUGCGAAAGCAGGUCAUAGUGAUCCGGUGGUUCUGAAUGGAAGGGCCAUCGCUCAACGGAUAAAAGGUACUCCGGGGAUAACAGGCUGAUACCGCCCAAGAGUUCAUAUCGACGGCGGUGUUUGGCACCUCGAUGUCGGCUCAUCACAUCCUGGGGCUGAAGUAGGUCCCAAGGGUAUGGCUGUUCGCCAUUUAAAGUGGUACGCGAGCUGGGUUUAGAACGUCGUGAGACAGUUCGGUCCCUAUCUGCCGUGGGCGCUGGAGAACUGAGGGGGGCUGCUCCUAGUACGAGAGGACCGGAGUGGACGCAUCACUGGUGUUCGGGUUGUCAUGCCAAUGGCACUGCCCGGUAGCUAAAUGCGGAAGAGAUAAGUGCUGAAAGCAUCUAAGCACGAAACUUGCCCCGAGAUGAGUUCUCCCUGAGACUUAGAGUCUCCUGAAGGAACGUUGAAGACGACGACGUUGAUAGGCCGGGUGUGUAAGCGCAGCGAUGCGUUGAGCUAACCGGUACUAAUGAACCGUGAGGCUUAA
rnacentral:rRNA from 2 species